CACCGGAGGCAUCCACUUUGGAAAGUGCCAUUUGCACUUCUUCUUCGGUCAUGUCCAAGUCAAAGUCCUUCUCCCAAUCCUCACUGAUGUCUGUGCUUGAGCCUGGAACCAGGAGGGACAGUGUGAAAGGCAGAAGUGGGGGGUAGGUGGGUACCUAAUGAGGUUUAGCUGGGUGUGAUGGCAAUCUUUAAAAAGGUUGGCAAUACACAAUACAAACCUUUACAAUCU
rnacentral:lncRNA from 1 species